UAGCAUCUGUUUCUUCUUUGUUUGUCAUCCCUCAAUAUCCCCACUACCUUGUAGGCGUACGUGACCGUUGUCACGCUUCUAGAACAUUUGGUGGAAGGACCGUUAGGAUACAGAUGACUCAUUAGGCACUUCGGCGAUAUACAUUGUCGCCAAGGCCGCCACAUCUCUAUCUCCAUCAUCGGUCCAUCGGAUUUGAAAUAUACCGGUCGUGACACUAGCAGGGAUAGAGAUCAUGGAGUGAAAUACUUAAGUGGAGCUGAAAAAGUAAAACGGAAGAAACAGUGAGACGAUUAUAUUAAACAGCAAACAAACAACAUUUUGAAACCCCCCUGGAAGAGGAAAACCAAGAGUUGAAUAUACCUGUGAAGGAAAAUGAAGAAGACACCAACGAAACUGAAUUGGACGAAAAUAGAAACAAUAGAAAACGAGCGAUUGUGCAACUUAUCAAGAAAAAGAUAUUGAAAAUAUGGAAAUUGAAGCACAAAAAGAAGAAAACAGAUCCUAGCACGUGGCCAAUUGACAAAACACAACAAACGGUAAAUUUAAUAGUUCAGCAUGGUCCUGUACAAGUUACUCAAUUUAACUUCCCUAAGAACGAAAAUAACAGGAAUUUUUCUGCAACAUAUUUUGCGAAAAUACUGACGAAUGGACAAAGGACAACACGAGGAAGGCUAAUUUAUUCUAAAUCUAAAGACAAGGUUUCGCUUGUAAAUUAUUUUCCACUACUGAUAUUUUAGACGGAUUUUGCGAUUGGUCCCAUUUAACACAGCGAAUCAAAAUGCACGAACGAUCUGCGUUACAUUUACGAGCUAUAAACAAGUGGCUUUAAACUGAACAAAAUUUUCGCACUGGCAAUCUACUUGAUAAAGAGUGCGAAAAAUUUUUAAGAUUUGAAACGGCACAAUACGAACAAGUUUUCCAAAGAAUAACUGCUGUUACUUUAUAUUUGGUGCAACAUAAUUUAGCUUUCCGAAAAAGUUUCGAUACUUUGUACGCACCGCACAAUGGUAAUUUUUUGGAUUUAAUACAAUUAAUUACAAAAUUUGAUUCUGUUCUAAAUGAUCAUUUAAACAGUACAGCCAUAAAAGGGCAUCAUUAUUUAUCGCAUUCAAUUCAAAACGUACAAUGGCAAAUAAAGUAAAAAAAGUAAUUAUCGAUGCAAUAAGGAGAGCAAAAAAAUUAUUCCAUUUUAUUGGAUUGUACACCAGAUGUGAGCCAUCAACAGCAAUUAUCGGUUGUUCUUAAUUAUGUCAACAUAACAGACGAGGAGAUUGAAAUCAAGGAACAUUUUAUCAAAUUUGAGAUAUUGAGUUGGCAACUAAGUGAUUGCGGAUUUUGUCAUUAGGUGGUAUUGACAAAAUUCGCAAUCACUUAGUUGCCAAUCCAAUAGUUCAUGAUACGAUAGGAAAAGGACUAUCUGAAACUAUCAUGCUCAUUCUGGAUCAGUUGGGAAUAAAAGUAUCCGACUGUCGCGGACAAGGAUACGGUAAUGGUGUCAAUAUGAGGGGAAUAUCAAGGAGUACAAGCAUUUACACGUAUAUUACGUGUAAAUCCUAAAGCGUUUUACGUGCCAUACGGUAGUCACAAUUUGAAUUUGUUAUUGGGAGAUAUAGCAAAAUCAUCGACCCAAGCACUACAUUUUUUUGGUGUUUUAUAAAAGAUUUACACGAUAUUUGCAGUAUCGACAUCGCGAUGGUUUAAAAAAUAUGUUGAGAAAAUUACACUUAAACCGUUAU
rnacentral:misc_RNA from 1 species